rnacentral:rRNA from 1 species
UACGGAGGGUGCAAGCGUUAUCCGGAUUCACUGGGUUUAAAGGGUGCGUAGGUGGAGUGGUAAAUCAGUGGUGAAAUCUCCAAGCUUAACUUGGAACUGCCGUUGAUACUAUCAUUCUUGAAUAUCGUGGAGGUAAGCGGAAUAUGUCAUGUAGCGGUGAAAUGCUUAGAUAUGACAUAGAACACCGAUUGCGAAGGCAGCUUGCUACACGAUCAUUGACACUGAGGCACGAAAGCGUGGGGAUCAAACAGG